rnacentral:rRNA from 1 species
AUUGAACGCUGGCGGCAGGCCUAACACAUGCAAGUCGAGCGGAUGAAGGGAGCUUGCUCCUGGAUUCAGCGGCGGACGGGUGAGUAAUGCCUAGGAAUCUGCCUGGUAGUGGGGGAUAACGUCCGGAAACGGGCGCUAAUACCGCAUACGUCCUGAGGGAGAAAGUGGGGGAUCUUCGGACCUCACGCUAUCAGAUGAGCCUAGGUCGGAUUAGCUAGUUGGUGGGGUAAAGGCCUACCGAGGCGACGAUCCGUAACUGGUCUGAGAGGAUGAUCAGUCACACUGGAACUGAGACACGGUCCAGACUCCUACGGGAGGCAGCAGUGGGGAAUAUUGAACAAUGGGCGAAAGCCUGAUCCAGCCAUGCCGCGUGUGUGAAGAAGGUCUUCGGAUUGUAAAGCACUUUAAGUUGGGAGGAAGGGCAGUAAGUUAAUACCUUGCUGUUUUGACGUUACCAACAGAAUAAGCACCGGCUAACUUCGUG